UCAAGUGAAUAAGAGCAUGUGGUGGAUGCCUUGGCGAUGAUAGGCGACGAAGGACGUGAUAGCCUGCGAUAAGCUUCGGGGAGCUGGCAAAUAAGCUUUGAUCCGGAGAUUUCCGAAUGGGGAAACCCACCGAAAGGUAUCGCAUGAUGAAUACAUAGUCAUGCGAGGCGAACCGGGUGAACUGAAACAUCUCAGUAGCUCGAGGAAAAGACAUCAACCGAGAUUCCGAAAGUAGUGGCGAGCGAAAUCGGAAGAGCCUGCAAGUGAUAGCACAAGACUUAGCGGAACAGCUUGGAAAAGCUGGCCACAGCGGGUGAUAGCCCCGUACGCGAAAAGACCUGUGUGGUACUGAGCUUGCGACAAGUAGGGCGGGACACGAGAAAUCCUGUCUGAAGAUGGGGGGACCAUCCUCCAAGGCUAAAUACUCAUCAUCGACCGAUAGUGAACGAGUACCGUGAGGGAAAGGCGAAAAGAACCCCGGGAGGGGAGUGAAAUAGAUCCUGAAACCGCAUGCUUACAAAAAGUCGGAGCCCGCAAGGGUGACGGCGUACCUUUUGUAUAAUGGGUCAGCGACUUACAUUCAGUGGCAAGCUUAACCGAGUAGGGAAGGCGUAGGGAAACCGAGUCCGAACAGGGCGAUUCAGUCGCUGGGUGUAGACCCGAAACCAAGUGAUCUAUCCAUGGCCAGGAUGAAGGUGCCGUAACAGGUACUGGAGGUCCGAACCGACUGGUGUUGCAAAACUAGCGGAUGAGCUGUGGAUAGGGGUGAAAGGCUAAACAAACUUGGAAAUAGCUGGUUCUCUCCGAAAACUAUUUAGGUAGUGCCUCAAGUAUUACCUUCGGGGGUAGAGCACUGUUUUGGCUAGGGGGUCAUGGCGACUUACCAAACCAAUGCAAACUCCGAAUACCGAAGAGUAGAGCUUGGGAGACAGAGCACCGGGUGCUAACGUCCGGACUCAAGAGGGAAACAACCCAGACCGCCAGCUAAGGUCCCUAAAAUUGGCUAAGUGGGAAACGAAGUGGGAAGGCUAAAACAGUCAGGAUGUUGGCUUAGAAGCAGCCAUCAUUUAAAGAAAGCGUAAUAGCUCACUGAUCGAGUCGUCCUGCGCGGAAGAUGUAACGGGGCUAAGCCAGUUACCGAAGCUGCGGAUGUGCACGCAAGUGCACGUGGUAGGAGAGCGUUCUGUAGGCCUGUGAAGGUGGCUUGUAAAGGCUGCUGGAGGUAUCAGAAGUGCGAAUGCUGACAUGAGUAGCGUUAAAGCGGGUGAAAAGCCCGCUCGCCGUAAGCGCAAGGUUUUCUACGCAACGUUCAUCGGCGUAGAGUGAGUCGGCCCCUAAGGUGAGGCAGAGAUGCGUAGCUGAUGGGAAACAGGUCAAUAUUCCUGUACCGAUGUGUAGUGCGAUGUGGGGACGAAGAAGGUUAGCUCAUCCGGGUGUUGGAUGUCCCGGUUCAAGCCUGUAGUCGUGCCUGGUAGGUAAAUCCGCCGGGCUUAGAUGAGAGGUGACAACGAGGCGGCUUGCCGCCGAAGUGAGUGAUACCCUGCUUCCAGGAAAAGCCACUAAGCUUCAGCUACACACGACCGUACCGCAAACCGACACUGGUGCGCGAGAUGAGUAUUCUAAGGCGCUUGAGAGAACUCAGGAGAAGGAACUCGGCAAAUUGACACCGUAACUUCGGAAGAAGGUGUGCCUUUAGUAGGUGAAGUCCCUCGCGGAUGGAGCCCAAUGGGGUUGCAAAAAAUCGGUGGCUGCGACUGUUUAAUAAAAACACAGCUCUCUGCAAACACGAAAGUGGACGUAUAGGGAGUGACGCCUGCCCGGUGCUGGAAGAUUAAAUGAUGGGGUGCAAGCUCUUGAUUGAAGUCCCAGUAAACGGCGGCCGUAACUAUAACGGUCCUAAGGUAGCGAAAUUCCUUGUCGGGU
rnacentral:rRNA from 1 species